CAAUAAGUCCUAUAAUCUAGAG
rnacentral:siRNA from 1 species